GCGAGUGUAACUUAAUGGUAAAGUGUUUCCUUGCCAAGGAAAAGAUUGCGCGUUCAAAUCGCGUCACCCGCU
rnacentral:tRNA from 1 species